rnacentral:lncRNA from 1 species
GUGUCUGUGAUGUUUUAGGUGGCAGUGAUGAUUUCAUACACGUGGUAAACAAUAAUUAUGCAGAGCCAAUGUCAUGAUCAUGCUCCCAAUCUGACAGUCAGGCCAGGUGUGAGCCCAGGGAGUGGGAUUUGUGGAUGUGAACCUGCCUGACUAGGUUGUGGCAGGAUGCCACAGGUGCCACCAAGCAUCUAGAAAGGGAACACGAUAGUGGCAAAGGACAGGAUUUGCUGAUGUUUUACUUGAGUUGAAUUUCUGAAGCUGAAGAAUCUCUGUAAAAUGGUACUUUGCUUCUUCAGUUGAGAUCAGAUAUUCUGCUUCCCAAGCUGGCAUUGUUUUCAGCUUGAGAAAGAGUUCAUGGCAUCCAGUUUUGAGGAACUCCCUUUUGAGCAUCCCAGAAAUGGCACCUAUCCAGUGGGUCCCUGAUACCUUCAAGCAACACUUUCUCUUCAAUCAGUUAUAUCCUUAAUUUAAUGGCUUCUGACAAUAAACUGUUUUGCACACC